rnacentral:rRNA from 1 species
GAUGAACGCUAGCGGCAGGCCUAAUACAUGCAAGUCGAACGGUGUCUUCGGACAUAGUGGCGCACGGGUGCGUAACACGUAUGCAACCUACCUUACAUUGGGGGAUAGCCUUUCGAAAGGGAGAUUAAUACCGCAUAAGACAGUAACUUGGCAUCAAGUAGCUGUUAAAGAUUUAUCGAUGUAAGCUGGGCAUGCGUCCAAUUAGUUAGUUGGCGAGGUAAAGGCUCACCAAGACGAUGAUUGGUAGGGGAACUGAGAGGUCAAUCCCCCACACUGGCACUGAGAUACGGGCCAGACUCCUACGGGAGGCAGCAGUAGGGAAUAUUGGGCAAUGGGCGCAAGCCUGACCCAGCCAUGCCGCGUGCAGGAAGAAGGCGUUCUGCGUUGUAAACUGCUUUUAUAUAGGAAGAAACGGCCCUUGCGAGGGACAUUGACGGUACUAUAUGAAUAAGCACCGGCUAACUCCGUG